GCUCCUUCCUGCCUGCGUCUCCUUGGCUGGGGCCUCAGGAGCCUUUCUCUCCUGCUCUUCCUCCCUGCGGUCUGCUCAGUCUCAAGUCCUUGAAUGCAUGUGGGGGCCUUCUCAGGGACCACCAAGAGCCCAAGCUCUCCUGAACUCCAGAUGUCGGUGUCCAGCAUCCCAGACAGCCCACACCUUCCUGUCUCCUCAGGUCUAGGACUGAGACCCCACUGCCCUUGCCCUUCUUACCUUAGCUAAGGUCAAGGCCCUUGGGCACCCCAACAUCUCCUCCUCUCUCACAGGCACCUCCAUCUUCUAACAGGUGCCAUUGGUGAGUUCCUUGCCUGCCCCGCUGUCCUCUCUUCUUUUCUGCCCCCUCCAUGCAGUCCACCUGCUUCCCCUUCCUCAGUCCCAGCCCCUACCCAGAGUGCUUCUUGGACAUGGGGCCCAGUCAUCCUGUGCUCGGGUUUAGCAUUCCCUGUAACAGCCUGCACACGGAGAGAGCAAAGGUUGGGGCUUAGGAGGCUGUGAGCUGUCAUGCGCAGUGUGCUCCCCCAAGCUCAGUGGCAUUAGAGGGGGCCGUGGAUUUCCACAGCAGACAUUUUGAUGGGGGCUCUGCAGGGAUGGUUGCUGUCUGCUCUGAGGCCUCUGGGGUCUCUGGUGGGAAGACUGUGUGGCCAAGAAUAAUGCAGACAGCUAGAAGCUGGAGUCAUGCUGAGACUUAUUUACUCUGCAUCUGGUACCUGGGCCGGGAGGACCCACAGGCUAAGCUGGGCUGGGGCUGCCUUUUUUGGUUGUCUCCCCCCUGGCUACUUCCCAAGGCUCAGGCUUGCUCACACUUCUAAGCCGGCUGCUCGGGACUCCAAGGCUCCAAAGCUCACAGUGCUAUUUCCUGCUGCUUUGUUGGUAGGGCAACCAAAAUUUCCCUGAUUCACAGGGAGGGCCUUAGGCCCAGAGGCAAGAGUGUGAGGAACCCAGGGCAUGCUGAGGCACCUGGGAACCUUGGCUGUGGUGGUGCCUUUGCUGCCUACUAUGGCAUCAUCAUCAUUUACAGGAACUCCAGCGGUGUAUUACUGUCUAGGGGUCUCCAUGGGGUUUGUUUUCUCUGCCAGUUAAAGGAUUAAAAGGCAAGAAAAAGCUUGUGCGUGACGUUGAGAAAUUGAGAAUACAGCCAACAGGAGCAGGCAGAUCAGCAGUUGAAGAAAGGCAUUUAUUAGCGUGAGGAAGCACGCACACUAGCAGACCCACAGAGAAAGACCCUCCACAAAGCAGGGGGGACGCCAGAUUCAGAAGCCCCAAACUCCAGUCUCUUCUCAAGGACUAAGAUCUUUAAUCCUUGGAAGGCUCUCCCUUCCCUAGUGUAGGGUUGUUUGAAGGAAAUUAGGAUAGUCUGUUGGCUAUAACUCUUGUGUAACGUGUCACCAUCCACCUUGAACUCCUUGGUGGGCUAUCAGCAGGAGAAGGUCCUAUUGGUGAAGGGAAAAGCCCUUUCAGUCUUUGUUUUCAGCUUCCAGGCUGUUUUCUCAGGUCAGGAGGGUGAGGAAUAGGCUGGUCAUCUUGGAAGUUUCUACCUUAAAAACCUAGUCAUUGGCCCUCUCCCUGUCUGCCUACUUGGGAAUCUGUCCGACUCGUAGUCCGGCAGUUGGUCAGAAAUAUAGCAGGACUAAUCUGAGGUGACCUCCUAUGCCCUGGAGCCCUGACCUCUUGCUUCUGCUGACCUCUUGGGUUCCUGCUGGCCGUUGGCUGAGGCAGAACUGGGGCUUUUGGCCUGAACUCCAGGUGUCUGGUGUGAUCUGGCUUCCCCCAUUGCUGGUGGGUCCCAAGGCUGGGUCCUAACGAGGGAGCUGGUUAAGACUGUGCUCCAACAUUGCAGGGCACACAGUAUCUCUGCCAAUUUUAUUUCAGUUCAGGCCCAAGAGAGAGGCCAUGUUGCGCUUGUCGGGAGGCUCUCCAUGUUAUUCUGUAGGAAGAGUGUCCAGUGGACUGGCCUGGCCUCACCUCUGGGAGAUGCCAGCUCCCUCCUUCCUUCCCCCUCUGCCCUCACAGCCUGAGUACCUGCCCAGUCACCUGACCCUCAGCCUGCGGCCUUGCUGUCCUAUCCUGGAGCAGCAUGUACCCUGCCUGGAGACUCUCACUCCAGACAGUCCCUCCUGUCCUUCCCUGGCACCCAAUUUAAUACUUUCUUGCUAUUCAUCUCCUUCCACUAGAAUGUGUAAAGCAUCCAGCUGGAGGCAGUGGUGUGGUUUGUUCUAGCCAUUGUGGCACUGUGGUUAGCUAGUGACCUUGAGUGGCAGUGGGAAGGUGGCUUUAUGUGAUGGGGCUCUUGGAAGAGCUGCUGUAGUAAAGGACCUUGUCGCCAAGGCUUCUAUGCACCUCAGCCCACAGCAGGACCCCUGAGUAAGCCCUCGGGGUGUUGAUGAAACUGAAAACACUGUGUUGCCUGGUCCAGGCCACAGAACUCUUGAGUGAUGAGGCUGUGGGCCCAGCCCAGGCUGCCGGACCCCUGGACAGGACUGUCCCAACUGUGAUGUUCUCAGAGCUUCUUGGUUAGCCCUGUCUCAGAGGAGGAUCACUCCAGGGCCAGAAUGCGAAUAGCUAUCCCACGAAGCCCAGCACCCGGCAGCCAGUGACUGAGUCUUGAUGCGGUAUACCCUCCCAUCUCAGAAUGGCGCAUCCUGAUCUUGUGAGAGAUAAGAUGGGCGUACGCCUAAGCUGCUGCCAGUGUGCUGCUGGGCGCGGCACAGCGGACAGCUGGAGUUGGGUCCGUCUUUGUCUGCUGCCAGCUGCUGUGUGUGCGCCAGGCUCCUCACACCAAGCUCUCACCUGAUGGAGGUCCCCAAGUGUUGUCACCUGACCUGGGUGCAGGCUCUGAGCAUACUAGCUGCUCUGUUGCCAUGGCUACAUGAUAGGCCUGGGAGGGCUGAGGACCGAGUGAGAAGAUGCAAGAAGGGAGGCCCCAGAUAGAGCAUCCACCACCUUUCCCUGUACUUGGCAUGCACAGACAGCCCCGCACAGGGUAAGGCUGAUCCUGCCCGUACUAGCUACAAAUACACAGAUAAACAAACACCUAGCUAAAUAGGAGUUGGCUAUUCCGAGGACUGGAGCAGUCUGCCUUUGCAGGUAGACAGUUGCCAAGCUCCUAACUAGAAAAGGAGUUUUGUGACAGAGAAAAAUGUAGUGGGUUUUUCCCCCCCUUCUUUUCUUAAAGUGAAGACACACACACACACACACACACACACACACACACACACACACACACACACACUGAGAAAGAGGGAUUUUAUUAUGUCUUAUGUGAAGUGGUUCCAUGGUGCCAAAGAAAGAAGAGGAAGAAGUUCUGUGAGAGCUUAUAAUGAGUUCUAGCUUUAGAAGCAAUCAAAAGGAGUAAUUGCACAACUUAAACACGAAGUUACGGUGUUUCCCAGGGUCCCUUGCUUCUAUUCUCUGUUGCUCAUGGUGGGGGCAGGCAACUGUGCUGUCUGCACCUUCCAGCACACUGGCUUUGGCAUGCUCUACCCUAACUAGCUGGGAUCUGGGUAGAGGGCUCCUGGGCUUGUAGACUCCCUUCCCCCCAGGCCUGGCCUUAUCUUUCACCAGAGGACUGUGGGUCAGCUUCUGCCUGGGAUUGGCUUCUUGCCCAACUCCCGCAGAGAGGUGGAGAGCGAGGUCUAGAUAUCUGGCACAUAUCCCACUGUGCCCGGGAGUUGGAUCCCACGAGAAGCUGAGGUCUGCCCAGUAGCCAGUGACAGGAGAGACAUUGGUCUGUGCCAGCUCCCUGCCCCUGAGCACUGUCAGGGUUUGCCUUCCUAAUGUUAGUGAUAGACCCAGCACGAGGUCCCAGCCCUGCUGCACCUGCCCACCUCUGCCACAAUGGGACUGCUUCCUGCUCUGCAUCCCUCUACCCAGGGAUGGUUAUCAAAGAAGGGUGCACAGAUGCAGAUGUUAUCAUUCCUUCCACAGCGACUCCUGCAGAGUGUAUGGGGCUGCCUGCCAGGCUGGCCCAGCUUUGGAUGCCCGCGAUCACCAAGGCAGUCUUCAGAACAAGGGUGCUUGCUCUGGGCUAUGACAUUGCCUCGCUGGUAUGGAGCAAAUACUUUUCCCUGAACAGCGUCGGAAGGGCCUUUGAUCGCAAGAGAGGAAGGGGUCCUGGUCUGUGGUGGGCAUGAGUCUGCCCUGUCCACACUCCUGGAGGGCUUAGGGUCUAGAGGAUGGCUACCUGCAGUGAGCCACCUCCUCCCCAAAUAACAGGUCAGGGGUUGCUUUUGUUCAAAUUGUUUAUCCAAAACGAAUGCCACUCAUUAGUCAUUGACACUUGUGGAGGGACCAUGGGACCAACAGGGAUUAGGGCCAGGGCCAGAGGAUAGGGCUUGUGUUGUUCCAGUACCUGUAGCCAAACCAUAUGCCAGGUGGUGCUGUGGGGUCACUGGUGCGAUCCAGAUGCUAUAGGGACAGACACCUAGAAAAGAGCAUGCAGAUGUGGAGAGCAUGCCUGGAAGCUGACCAGUCAGCACCCACUUGUCCCAUCUACUGCUGCCCCUCUCUGCUACCAUUGACAGAUCAGAGCUGACAGGAGCUGAGACCCCACCCCCACCCCACCCCGAGCUCCUCACUACCUUCUUGUCCAUGGCUGGUUUCUAGAGAACAGCCACCCACCCUGUACCAUAUUUAAGCCCAGUAAUUGAAUUGCAAUUGAUAGUACAUGCCGGUUUAAGAUCAUGCUAAUUGCUUCAUUUCCCAGAACACUCUUAAAAAGAAAAUGAAUUUCCCUGUAAUAUUUGCAGUGGGGUGAAAUGACCCUUGUGGAAAUCAAUCCUCGCUCCAUGAUGAGCUAUGAGUAGAUGGGUGUACUGGGGCAGGGGCCACCUGCACUCUUCCUUGCCUGCCUGGACAGGUUUAAGGAGUGUCCCUUACUCGGGCUUGAACCUAGCCGUGAUCCAGAUAAGGGAGCAGACAUGACUCCUUGUCCAGGGUCUCACAGUGGCCAGUGUGGCACUCAGGAGAGGUGGGACUCCAGGCAAUGGACACAGGUAGGAGACCCAUUGUACCCUUCCCUGAAAGGCUGUAGAGGUCAUAGGACCUCUUGAACCCUCUUACCCCUUAAGAAGAGGAGGUGACAGUGUGUGCCUGGCCAUCGGCACAGCCCCUGCAGUCCUUGGCAGUGUGAGCAGAUCCCUCAUGGAUAUUUCGGCUACUUCAGUGGACAAAGAGUUAAGAUAAAGUUUGGCAAUGUGGAGGGUGGGAGAGACCAGACGACAAGCUGGCAUCCAGAAUUCUCCUGGCACAGGCUUCUCCUUACACCGUUUUCUAGCUUUACAGAACCACUCUGUGCCUGGAUAGAAUUGGGACUACUACCCCCCAACCCACUCACUCACUCUUCACCCACUCACACCACCCACUUACUUCCCCACUCACCCUGCUCAUACCCCCUACCAACCUGUGCACCCCUCCCUGAUGACUGCUCAUCCUUCCAUCUCUCAUACACCUUCCUGCUCCCCACAGGAAGGAGGCAGAGCCUUUUGUUGGGAAGCCCCUGGCUACAGGGGAUGGCUCUAUAGGUACCAUGGGCAUGCUGUGCCAUGGAUAGAUAGCCCCUGGCCUUCCUGGCAAGCCACCACCAAGGUGCUAAGGACACCCUAGACUGCAACUGGGCUGUGUAGGCCCUGGGAUCUCUGCAUGCAUAGUGGGAGCUUGUGGUUCUGGGUGAAUGCUUAUGGGUCAGGAUCUGAGCAAGUGGACCCUGCCCAUCCACCCCUUCUGGCCCUCAGGCACCCCUAACAGGAAGGGGACCUUUCCCUGAACUCCAGGAGCUAGAUAGCUCUGGGCUUGCUCUAUACCACCAACCCCAGUUUCUGUAGCCUCCCGGCUUCUAACAGGGUUCUUCCUAUUUCUACAGAGUGACGUGCUGGAUGUGAAGCAGAUCAUCAAGGACUUGGCCCGCAGUGAUACUAGAACAAGAUGUCAUUGGUGGCAUUUCACUCGAGCCACCUGUCAGCCAGAGAGCUGCUUGCCAGCCCUCAGUGUCCCCUUUCCCUGGCUGCUGAGGAAGGCCCAGGGCAAGGCCUCUUCCCCCUGUUCCCUUACCCACUAUGGACUUCCAGAGUGGUGGCUCCAGACAUUGCUCCUUUGAGCUUGCCAUCAGGGCUGGGAGAUGCACAGCACCAAAUGGCUUGUCUACCCCAGAUGCCUCCCAGUCCCUGUAGGCUGAUGGAAGGAGCCGCCUUACAGUGGUGGGGAUGUCCAUCCAUCCCAGCAGCUGAGGGCAGGAAACUGUCCUGGGGAGAGAGCUAUGCAGGGCUGACCUGCUUGCAGGGUAGACAGGGAGAACACCUGGAGGCCAAGCAGGUGGAGAAAGAGCAGCUGGCCCAAAGUCCCAGCAUGGUGGGCGUGGGCCAUGGGUGCAUUGGAGGACCCCAUGCCCCACCCAGCUUCUGGUGCCAUUCCAGGGUCCAGCAGCAAGACGCCCACAUGCCAGCAGAGCUUCAGCCCAGAGCCAGCCAAGCCAGUCCUGCUGCCCGGCACUCACCUCUGCACCAUGACACGCAAGCCCGACUUUAGCCCCCAGGAGAUGGAGGUGCUGGUGCCAAGGGUGGUGUGCCACCAUCACUGCUGUUUGGAGCACCGCGGGGCGCACCAGCACGGGAGCUUCAGGUGUGGAGGAGGGUCCUGCAGGCUGUGAACUCUGCUACUGCAGCACCUGACCUGAGUAACCUCAAGCACAAGUGGAGGGACCUUCGUGGUGCUGUGUGCAAGAAAGUGGGCAAGAGUUCUAUCCCUGGCCUUGUCCUCACUUCCAUUGAGAGAUGGUAGCUGGGACCUUCUCAGCUCCUAUCCUUCAACAAAAAGUCCAAGCAGGGAUCCCCUACCAGGGAAGUGGGCCAUUGCACACAUCCUGCGAGCUGAGAGCCUCCUGUGCCAGCCACUUCCAGUGUUUGGACCCCAAGUUGGGUGGGAGGCACUUCUUGGCCUUAAACUUCGGGCCUACUUUAGUCUUGAUAUUAUAGUCAGGAGCCUCCAAGUCCCCGGAGUCCCCUCAUGAAUUCACUUGCAGACCCACAGUGCCCAUAGGUCUUCCCUCAGGUGAGGAAUGGUCUGUUUCCACCAUACUAGAGCGGUGGUAGCGGGAGGUGGGUAGUGCUGGAAAUGCUGGGUGCCUGUCCCCCAAAGAGGUUGUCUAGACAGAACGCUGGGCAUGGCAGGGCCUAACUGUCUCUCCUGCACAGCUUGGCACUACACAGGCUCCCCCAGGGUUCCAGCUCAGCUUCUGCCACGUCACAUCUAAUAUGUAGUGUAACCAUCUGACUCCGCCUAGUGCCCCGGUGAAUGUACUUGGCAUGCAGAGCUCAGAGCAUGGCUGUGAUAGGCCAACUGAUUUAAGAAACUGCAGGUCACAGCAGAGAGACGUGACUCCCUGUGCCGAAUGGCAGGCCAACUAGCCAUGGAGUUUGGCAGUUGAAGGAAGGCCCUUUUCCAAUCUCUUCCUCCCUCCCUCUUCCUGCAGGCUGAGCCCAGACCUGGAGGGUGGGUAUCCAGGUGAAGCUGCCUUGGAGAGGUAGGUCACCUAGUGUCCCUCCCUGUGCCUUCUGGUACGGGCAUCCCACGGGCCAGUCCUCACUGCUGUGGAGUUGGGAUGGAGCCAGGAGGGAGCACAGGCCUCACGGCCCAUGCUCACACCUUCCUCAUGCUCGGGCCUGAGUCGCCCUGUAGAUGGGGAAGCAGAAGCUUGGAGUGGACAGAGAUCCUUGUCCCAGAUCACCCCUGCCAAGGUCCCCGGGAAGAGUGCCGAUGAGGGAGGAGGUGAGCUGGAGAGGGACAGCAGAAAUCUGUUCAGAAGACAUUCCAGAUGGGAACUCCAAUGGCUCCACAAACCCAGAGCAGGGCUGGAGGAAGGAUCCAAGAUGCUCCCUCCUGUGCUUUCAAGUGUUGCCUCACUCAGAAACAUGGCCGUCUCUGACUCAGUGUGGGAUGCAAUGAAAGUCCUUUUCCCAUACCUGGCCUCCCCUGGCCCAGAGACCAGAGGGGCACAGCUAUCUCCAAGCUGACAGCAUGGGGAAUUGCUCCUUUGAAGACCAGCACUGCCCACCUCAACCCUGCAUCGUCGUCAGUGAAGGUAGCCUGGGCUGACUCAGCUCUCAGUACCUGGCCCUCAGUGCCCAGCGCCCACCCUUGGCCCUCCUGCUUCCCCUGGUGUUUGGGGCCCCAGGAACCAGCUAUUGGGUUCCCUCUGCCACAGGACCCGCUGUCUAGAAGUUUCAUGACUGGCAGCUUGAGACACUUCAGUGCUUCUGGAACCAAGCCUCACCAGCAGGGGCCUCCAGCUGAGCCACCUGGGGGCCAGCCUCUCCAGCCCUGGCCUGGGCUCAGCCUUUCAAACAGCCAGCCAUCUUCAGCCAGAACCCAAGCCUGCUCCAGACAACUCUGGUGAAGAAAUAUACCGGGAAGAGCUGUGGAAGAGCACAUAGAAGCCAUGCUGAGGUUGAGACUUACAAGCUGGGAGGACGUCUGCUGGACCUGACUCUCUGAGGACAUCAGGAGACCACAGUCACUCAGCAAACACCCACUCAGACUGGGGAGCACAGAGGAAGGCCUGACCCUAGGAUGCUCCACGGGCAGUGAGGAAGUUUUGCUGAGAUUUGUAACUUGCCUCUCAGGAAUCUGAAAGCAUAAGCAUUCAGGAGCUGCUGUCUGAGGACUCGGAGCAGGCUGGCUCUGCAUUGCUGUGCCAGGCUCCGGAUGCAAUUUUAUAAACGUUGUGAGCUGAAAUAGCAGCAUGAAGCUGAGCAGGCAUCCCAAACGGAGCACAGUAAAGGAGGAAGUGUGCAAAAAAUAGAGCAGCGGAUAAACACGGAGGGGCCCGGAGCAGGCAAUGGCAUCCUCUGACAACUUGACCUCUGGCUCCUACCUCCAGACAGAACUCACUUCAACUGACCUGCCCAGGUGCUCAGACCACCAGGGUGAAAAGUCAGGCAUGGGUAGAUGACAUCCGAAGUGCGGACCGUGCCCUUGUGCUGGAAGACACGGGCAGGAAGCAGUGAUGGAACUCCUGGAGGAGGCACCUUUAUGACGAUGUUGGAAACACAUUCAAAACCCAGGCUUUCCUCUGAAUAGGGCUGCAUAGUGCUGGAGGCCAUUCCAUGGAUUCAGAGUCAGCCCCACCAGGGUGUGAGGGGUGGAUGGACCAGCUUCACCUGCUCAGUGGAGGAGGACUCUUGCUUUGUGAGGCUAGCUCCACUGAGUGCUUUCUCCUAGAAGGCUCUGAAGUAGCAGCUGGAGGUCUGGCCCACACCAAGCUUCUCCCUCCCUGCUGCUCUUGCCCAUGGAGGAGCCUCACCUCACUGUCUCUAAGUAAUUUGCAUGGAUUUGCAUACAUUGUUACCCACAGUCCUAUUUGUUUCUGGAGAGGCACCUUUAAUAAUAAAUGUAGU